rnacentral:rRNA from 1 species
UACGUAGGGUGCAAGCGUUAAUCGGAAUUACUGGGCGUAAAGCGUGCGCAGGCGGUUGUGCAAGACAGAUGUGAAAUCCCCGGGCUCAACCUGGGAAUUGCAUUUGUGACUGCACGGCUAGAGUGUGUCAGAGGGGGGUAGAAUUCCACGUGUAGCAGUGAAAUGCGUAGAGAUGUGGAGGAAUACCGAUGGCGGAGGCAGCCCCCUGGGAUAACACUGACGCUCAUGCACGAAAGCGUGGGGAGCAAACAGG